rnacentral:snoRNA from 1 species
AGCCUGCAAAUUCCUUAUCUUCCAGAUCUAAAUAUUGGUCUGAGUGGAUAAAAAAGGGGGAAUGUAAAACAAGUGAACUUGGAGUGUUUUAUGACAGACAAGUUCAUUUCAGACGGAU